rnacentral:rRNA from 1 species
UCCCCUCCUCCUACUUGAGGCAGCCUUCUUGAAUAUUUCUCCCUGGGGGAACCCCUUCGGCAGCACCUCCUCGUGGAGGCUUCCUUUUUUCGGCUUUUCCACUCCUUUUUUUCUAGAAGAUCCUUCCUGUAUCUACCUCCUCAGCACCGUCUCCCUCCGUGCCCUCCUCCGCGGUAAUCCUUCUGGUGCAAUCUUUCCUCGGAAGCCCUGGGCGGAAAGAUCGCGUAGGCGGGAGCGCAAGUCAGAGGGGAAAUCCGAGGGAGUAACCAUAGAAGUGCAUUUGAAAGUGUUAUUAUAGAGUAUGGGAGAGGGAGGUGGAAGUAGGGGUGUAGGGGGAAAAUCCGUAGAGAGAAAGAGGAAUAAGAAGGGCGAAGGAGAAAGGCUAGAACAGAAAUGACGCUGAUGCGCGAAAGCGUGGGGAGAAAACAGGAUUAGAUACCCUUGGA